rnacentral:misc_RNA from 1 species
GCGGUCGGCAAGUUUCUGGGCAAUGUCGAACGGACCGGAAUACCAGUGGAUGAUCGCCCGUUCAACAUUAUAUGCGUCGAGCAUCGCGAGGAUUUCAUGUUCCGCACCUUUUGUAUGAAGGUUGACGAUCUUUUGCUGCUCGUGUGCUGCUUGUAGAAAGAAAGCAAGGACGUUUCGUUGCGCUUCAUAAGUUGAGCGGUCUUCGACCCAAUGAAAAUCGAGUCCAAUUUCGCCUAGCAGUGGGCUC